GGGUUGUGAGGUUAAGCGACUAAGCGUACACGGUGGAUGCCCUGGCAGUCAGAGGCGAUGAAGGACGUGCUAAUCUGCGAUAAGCGUCGGUAAGGUGAUAUGAACCGUUAUAACCGGCGAUUUCCGAAUGGGGAAACCCAGUGUGAUUCGUCACACUAUCAUUAACUGAAUCCAUAGGUUAAUGAGGCGAACCGGGGGAACUGAAACAUCUAAGUACCCCGAGGAAAAGAAAUCAACCGAGAUUCCCCCAGUAGCGGCGAGCGAACGGGGAGCAGCCCAGAGCCUGAAUCAGUGUGUGUGUUAGUGGAAGCGUCUGGAAAGGCGCGCGAUACAGGGUGACAGCCCCGUACACAAAAAUGCACAUGCUGUGAGCUCGAUGAGUAGGGCGGGACACGUGGUAUCCUGUCUGAAUAUGGGGGGACCAUCCUCCAAGGCUAAAUACUCCUGACUGACCGAUAGUGAACCAGUACCGUGAGGGAAAGGCGAAAAGAACCCCGGCGAGGGGAGUGAAAAAGAACCUGAAACCGUGUACGUACAAGCAGUGGGAGCACGCUUAGGCGUGUGACUGCGUACCUUUUGUAUAAUGGGUCAGCGACUUAUAUUCUGUAGCAAGGUUAACCGAAUAGGGGAGCCGAAGGGAAACCGAGUCUUAACUGGGCGUUAAGUUGCAGGGUAUAGACCCGAAACCCGGUGAUCUAGCCAUGGGCAGGUUGAAGGUUGGGUAACACUAACUGGAGGACCGAACCGACUAAUGUUGAAAAAUUAGCGGAUGACUUGUGGCUGGGGGUGAAAGGCCAAUCAAACCGGGAGAUAGCUGGUUCUCCCCGAAAGCUAUUUAGGUAGCGCCUCGUGAAUUCAUCUCCGGGGGUAGAGCACUGUUUCGGCAAGGGGGUCAUCCCGACUUACCAACCCGAUGCAAACUGCGAAUACCGGAGAAUGUUAUCACGGGAGACACACGGCGGGUGCUAACGUCCGUCGUGAAGAGGGAAACAACCCAGACCGCCAGCUAAGGUCCCAAAGUCAUGGUUAAGUGGGAAACGAUGUGGGAAGGCCCAGACAGCCAGGAUGUUGGCUUAGAAGCAGCCAUCAUUUAAAGAAAGCGUAAUAGCUCACUGGUCGAGUCGGCCUGCGCGGAAGAUGUAACGGGGCUAAACCAUGCACCGAAGCUGCGGCAGCGACGCUUAUGCGUUGUUGGGUAGGGGAGCGUUCUGUAAGCCUGUGAAGGUGUGCUGUGAGGCAUGCUGGAGGUAUCAGAAGUGCGAAUGCUGACAUAAGUAACGAUAAAGCGGGUGAAAAGCCCGCUCGCCGGAAGACCAAGGGUUCCUGUCCAACGUUAAUCGGGGCAGGGUGAGUCGACCCCUAAGGCGAGGCCGAAAGGCGUAGUCGAUGGGAAACAGGUUAAUAUUCCUGUACUUGGUGUUACUGCGAAGGGGGGACGGAGAAGGCUAUGUUGGCCGGGCGACGGUUGUCCCGGUUUAAGCGUGUAGGCUGGUUUUCCAGGCAAAUCCGGAAAAUCAAGGCUGAGGCGUGAUGACGAGGCACUACGGUGCUGAAGCAACAAAUGCCCUGCUUCCAGGAAAAGCCUCUAAGCAUCAGGUAACAUCAAAUCGUACCCCAAACCGACACAGGUGGUCAGGUAGAGAAUACCAAGGCGCUUGAGAGAACUCGGGUGAAGGAACUAGGCAAAAUGGUGCCGUAACUUCGGGAGAAGGCACGCUGAUAUGUAGGUGAAGUCCCUCGCGGAUGGAGCUGAAAUCAGUCGAAGAUACCAGCUGGCUGCAACUGUUUAUUAAAAACACAGCACUGUGCAAACACGAAAGUGGACGUAUACGGUGUGACGCCUGCCCGGUGCCGGAAGGUUAAUUGAUGGGGUCAGCGCAAGCGAAGCUCUUGAUCGAAGCCCCGGUAAACGGCGGCCGUAACUAUAACGGUCCUAAGGUAGCGAAAUUCCUUGUCGGGUAAGUUCCGACCUGCACGAAUGGCGUAAUGAUGGCCAGGCUGUCUCCACCCGAGACUCAGUGAAAUUGAACUCGCUGUGAAGAUGCAGUGUACCCGCGGCAAGACGGAAAGACCCCGUGAACCUUUACUAUAGCUUGACACUGAACAUUGAGCCUUGAUGUGUAGGAUAGGUGGGAGGCUUUGAAGUGUGGACGCCAGUCUGCAUGGAGCCGACCUUGAAAUACCACCCUUUAAUGUUUGAUGUUCUAACGUGGACCCGUGAUCCGGGUUGCGGACAGUGUCUGGUGGGUAGUUUGACUGGGGCGGUCUCCUCCUAAAGAGUAACGGAGGAGCACGAAGGUUGGCUAAUCCUGGUCGGACAUCAGGAGGUUAGUGCAAUGGCAUAAGCCAGCUUGACUGCGAGCGUGACGGCGCGAGCAGGUGCGAAAGCAGGUCAUAGUGAUCCGGUGGUUCUGAAUGGAAGGGCCAUCGCUCAACGGAUAAAAGGUACUCCGGGGAUAACAGGCUGAUACCGCCCAAGAGUUCAUAUCGACGGCGGUGUUUGGCACCUCGAUGUCGGCUCAUCACAUCCUGGGGCUGAAGUAGGUCCCAAGGGUAUGGCUGUUCGCCAUUUAAAGUGGUACGCGAGCUGGGUUUAGAACGUCGUGAGACAGUUCGGUCCCUAUCUGCCGUGGGCGCUGGAGAAUUGAGGGGGGCUGCUCCUAGUACGAGAGGACCGGAGUGGACGCAUCACUGGUGUUCGGGUUGUCAUGCCAAUGGCACUGCCCGGUAGCUAAAUGCGGAAGAGAUAAGUGCUGAAAGCAUCUAAGCACGAAACUUGCCCCGAGAUGAGUUCUCCCUGACUCCUUGAGAGUCCUGAAGGAACGUUGAAGACGACGACGUUGAUAGGCCGGGUGUGUAAGCGCAGCGAUGCGUUGAGCUAACCGGUACUAAUGAACCGUGAGGCUUAACCUUACAACGCCGAAGGUGUUU
rnacentral:rRNA from 1 species